GUGCAGGACGCUUAGGGUUCCGCCGCGCCAAAGCGCGGGUCUGGUCCGAGAAGCGUCACCCAUCCGGCAAAUUCCGGCAGGGCACACGGCGGGCCAAAAUCCCGGGAGAC
rnacentral:sRNA from 23 species